AUAGGCUCAAGCAACUGUUUAGCAAAAACACAGGUCUAUGCGAAACCGUAAGGUGAUGUAUAUGGGCUGACGCCUGCCCGGUGCUGGAAGGUUAAGAGGAGAGGUUAGCGCAAGCGAAGCUUUGAAUUUAAGCCCCAGUAAACGGCGGCCGUAACUAUAACGGUCCUAAGGUAGCGAAAUUCCUUGUCGGGUAAGUUCCGACCCGCACGAAAGGCGUAAUGAUUUGAGCACUGUCUCGACAAUGCAUCCGGUGAAAUUGAAGUACCAGUGAAGAUGCUGGUUACCCGCGCCAGGACGGAAAGACCCCAUGGAGCUUUACUCCAGUUUGGUACUGGGAUUCGGUACUGCAUGUACAGGAUAGGUGGGAGACUAAGAUUAUGGGACGCUAGUUUCAUAUGAGUCACUGUUGGGAUACCACCCUUGUAGUAUUGGAUUUCUAACCAGCCGCCGUGAUCCGGUGGUGGGACAAUGCCAGGCGGGGAGUUUGACUGGGGCGGUCGCCUCCGAAAGGGUAUCGGAGGCGCUCAAAGGUUCCCUCAGAAUGGUCGGAAACCAUUUGAAGAGUGCAAAGGCAGAAGGGAGCUUGACUGCGACACCGACGGGUGGAGCAGGUACGAAAGUAGGACUUAGUGAUCCGGUGGUAUAAAGUGGGAUUGCCAUCGCUCAACGGAUAAAAGCUACCCUGGGGAUAACAGGCUUAUCACUCCCAAGAGUUCACAUCGACGGAGUGGUUUGGCACCUCGAUGUCGGCUCAUCGCAUCCUGGGGCUGUAGCAGGUCCCAAGGGUUGGGCUGUUCGCCCAUUAAAGCGGUACGCGAGCUGGGUUCAGAACGUCGUGAGACAGUUCGGUCCCUAUCCGGCGCGGGCGUAGGAUAUUUGAGAGGAGCUGCCCCUAGUACGAGAGGACCGGGGUGGACGGACCACUGGUGUAUCAGCUGUCGACCAACGGCAUAGCUGAGUAGCCAAGUCUGGACGGGAUAAACGCUGAAGGCAUCUAAGCGUGAAGCCCCCCUCAAGAUGAGAUAUCCCAUUCCUUCAAGGAAAUAAGAUCCCUUAUAGACGAUAAGGUAGAUAGGUUCAAGGUGUAAGUGCGGUAACGCAUUCAGCUGAUGAAUACUAAUAGAUCGAAGGUUUAUUCUA
rfam:Pseudobutyrivibrio ruminis strain ACV-9 genome assembly, contig: IE77DRAFT_NODE_2_len_1078_cov_63_842300.25